AAUGCAUGGAAGCUUCGAGAAAAAGUUCAGCUCUUCACUUGAAAUAUUACCUUUUCAAGUAUGGUGAAUGCAACCGCAAGUAGAGGCUUUCCCUGGACAUUUUCAAAUCCUGUGGGUUUUCUCAGGCUCUCUGAACACGGAGAUGAACUCCGAACUCUCUUUUUCAUGAUGUGUCUCUGAGCAAGGGAACCACGGGAAGCCCAGGCUGGCAAUGCUUCCCAUCAGACAACUCUGACUCGAGCCACCAUUUGAAACUAUCCCCAAGGCUGUUGUCUUCAACCUUUACUUAAAGAUCAUUUCUGUGAAGCAUCCAAUUUCUGCUGCUCCUUUGGGCUGCGGUUUAAGACAGACUUCGCAGUAUUUACUGUUUCUAGUUUUGAGCUGACAACUAUUUAAGGGCAAGAGAUUUCAGCUGCCACCACCCUUCACAGCUUUUGCCACCAACACGUUUGCCAGACAGAACUAGCUGGAGCUCCGGGAAGCUGAGGAAACCAGUUUCAUAUGGUACAAGGAGAAAGAUUUUAGAAUUUGGAGUUGUUUUGCUGCUGUUACGGUCUGUGUUCUCUGUCCCACUUGGAAUGUGGGGCGCUGUGAACUGUGGCGUCUGUGUGGCCUACAGGAAUAAUCAGUGUCACUCAUCUUAGGGUAGUCAGCUCUGCUGGGGUCACUCACAUUCCUGGCUGUGGUGACUCCGCUCUGCUCCCCAUACCUCUUCUCUAGAAGGCUAGCCUGGGCAUGUUAUCAGAGUGAAGGCACAAAUGCACCAGAAACUCACAGCCUCUGGAGGCCUAGACUUAGAGCUGGAACAGGGUCAAGACCAGUGAAUUCUAGGGGCCCAGGAAAGUCUCAAGGUCGCCCCCAUUUUUAAGGCAUUGGGAAGUAAACUCUGCAAAGAACUGUAAAGUCACAAGACAAAAUGGAUUGAGAGGGGGAGUGCUGCAGAAUGGGGCCAUCCAAGCGACCCGCCGCAGCCCUACACUGAGGUGCGGGUCCCCUCCUCCCUGGAGUUCUCUCACGGUGCCUGUUCAUCGUGCCAUCUGCCAGCCCUACGACAGCACUCGCAUUCCGAGAGCUGAGCAAGCAAAUCGGGGAAAAAGAGAAACCAAGAAAUCAGGGAGACCUUUACAGAUCCUAGCGGUGUAAACUCAGAAAUCUAACAAUGGCGAG
rnacentral:lncRNA from 1 species